rnacentral:rRNA from 1 species
GACGAACGCUGGCGGCGUGCUUAACACAUGCAAGUCGAACGAAGAGCGAUGGAAGCUUGCUUCUAUCAAUCUUAGUGGCAAACGGGUGAGUAACGCGUAAUCAACCUGCCCUUCAGAGGGGGACAACAGUUGGAAACGACUGCUAAUACCGCAUACGAUCUAAUCUCGGCAUCGAGGAUAGAUGAAAGGUGGCCUCUACAUGUAAGCUAUCACUGAAGGAGGGGAUUGCGUCUGAUUAGCUAGUUGGAGGGGUAACGGCCCACCAAGGCGAUGAUCAGUAGCCGGUCUGAGAGGAUGAACGGCCACAUUGGGACUGAGACACGGCCCAGACUCCUACGGGAGGCAGCAGUGGGGAAUCUUCCGCAAUGGACGAAAGUCUGACGG